CAGUUGCCUAAAAACAGAUUAGAAAUAAAAGAAUUUAACGGCAGCAUUUUAAAAAUACAAAUGCAUUAUAGACAGAUCCUUCCUGAGAUGGUAUAGAUGCAUACUUUCAAGUAGUUUGAGGAAAGAUGUACUCAUCUUGAAAAACAGCCUUCACUUCUCCAUAGUUACUAUUUAUUUUUCAAGUUAGACAACUAUAUUACAGUAUGAGGAAAGCAAAAUGCUGCCUGAUUUAUUGGCAAGUGCUGUACACAUCAUUCCAAACACCAGGUCUGACUCUGAAAUUUAAGUGAUGGAGGACAGAUGGGUAUGCUUCUCAACAUGUGUAGGAAAAUGGCUUAAGCCAGUGCUGCCAAACACUUGCAGAUGAAUCCUAAAUUGUGAAAAUGAAUGUAUGUCAAGAAUGUAUGGUGUUUCCAAACUCUUUAUAUGGAAAAAGUGUAUUUUCUUUUUCUCAUAUAAGUGAGGCUG